UACAGAGGGUGCGAGCGUUAAUCGGAAUUACUGGGCGUAAAGGGCGCGUAGGCGGCCUUCUAAGUCGGACGUGAAAUCCCUCGGCUCAACCGAGGAACUGCGUCUGAUACUGGAAGGCUUGAAUCCGGGAGAGGGAUGUGGAAUUCCAGGUGUAGCGGUGGAAUGCGUAGAUAUCUGGAGGAACACCAGUGGCGAAGGCGGCAUCCUGGACCGGCAUUGACGCUGAGGCGCGAAAGCUAGGGGAGCAAACGGG
rnacentral:rRNA from 1 species